UCCGGUUUGUCACCGGCGGUCUCCUUAGAGUUCCCACCAUUACGUGCUGGCAACUAAGGACAAGGGUUGCGCUCGUUGCGGGACUUAACCCAACAUCUCACGACACGAGCUGACGACAGCCAUGCAGCACCUGUCUCACGGUUCCCGAAGGCACCAAUCCAUCUCUGGAAAGUUCCGUGGAUGUCAAGGCCAGGUAAGGUGGGGAUGACGUCGACGUCAUAACC
rnacentral:misc_RNA from 1 species